AGAGUUUGAUCCUGGCUCAGAUUGAACGCUGGCGGCAUGCCUUACACAUGCAAGUCGAACGGUAACGCGGGGCAACCUGGCGACGAGUGGCGAACGGGUGAGUAAUGCAUCGGAACGUGCCCAGUAGUGGGGGAUAGCCCGGCGAAAGCCGGAUUAAUACCGCAUACGACCUAAGGGUGAAANNNNNNNAUCGCAAGACCUCUCGCUAUUGGAGCGGCCGAUGUCAGAUUAGCUAGUUGGUGGGGUAAAGGCCUACCAAGGCGACGAUCUGUAGCUGGUCUGAGAGGGCGACCGGCCACACUGGGACUGAGACACGGCCCAGACUCCUACGGGAGGCAGCAGUGGGGAAUAUUGGGCAAUGGAGGAAACUCUGACCCAGCGACGCCGCGUGAGGGAUGAAGGCCUUCGGGUUGUAAACCUCUUUCAGUAGGGAAGAAGCGAAAGUGACGGUACCUACAGAAGAAGCACCGGCUAACUAUGUGCCAGCAGCCGCGGUAAUACAUAGGGUGCAAGCGUUGUCCGGAAUUAUUGGGCGUAAAGAGCUCGUAGGUGGUUCGAUACGUCGGAUGUGAAAAUCAGGGGCUCAACCCCUGACCUGCAUCCGAUACGGUCGAGCUAGAGUUUGGUAGGGGAGACUGGAAUUCCUGGUGUAGCGGUGGAAUGCGCAGAUAUCAGGAGGAACACCGAUGGCGAAAGCAGGUCUCUGGGCCAAUACUGACACUGAGGAGCGAAAGCGUGGGGAGCGAACAGGAUUAGAUACCCUGGUAGUCCACGCCGUAAACGGUGGGCGCUAGUUGUGCGAACCUUCCACGGUUUGUGCGACGCAGCUAACGCAUUAAGCGCCCCGCCUGGGGAGUACGAUCGCAAGAUUAAAACUCAAAGGAAUU
rnacentral:rRNA from 1 species